GAUGAACGCUGGCGGCGUGCCUAAUACAUGCAAGUCGAGCGAACGGACGAGAAGCUUGCUUUUCUGAUGUUAGCGGCGGACGGGUGAGUAACACGUGGAUAACCUACCUAUAAGACUGGGAUAACUUCGGGAAACCGGAGCUAAUACCGGAUAAUAUUUUGAACCGCAUGGUUCAAAAGUGAAAGACGGUCUUGCUGUCACUUAUAGAUGGAUCCGCGCUGCAUUAGCUAGUUGGUAAGGUAACGGCUUACCAAGGCAACGAUGCAUAGCCGACCUGAGAGGGUGAUCGGCCACACUGGAACUGAGACACGGUCCAGACUCCUACGGGAGGCAGCAGUAGGGAAUCUUCCGCAAUGGGCGAAAGCCUGACGGAGCAACGCCGCGUGAGUGAUGAAGGUCUUCGGAUCGUAAAACUCUGUUAUUAGGGAAGAACAUAUGUGUAAGUAACUGUGCACAUCUUGACGGUACCUAAUCAGAAAGCCACGGCUAACUACGUGCCAGCAGCCGCGGUAAUACGUAGGUGGCAAGCGUUAUCCGGAAUUAUUGGGCGUAAAGCGCGCGUAGGCGGUUUUUUAAGUCUGAUGUGAAAGCCCACGGCUCAACCGUGGAGGGUCAUUGGAAACUGGAAAACUUGAGUGCAGAAGAGGAAAGUGGAAUUCCAUGUGUAGCGGUGAAAUGCGCAGAGAUAUGGAGGAACACCAGUGGCGAAGGCGACUUUCUGGUCUGUAACUGACGCUGAUGUGCGAAAGCGUGGGGAUCAAACGGGAUUAGAUACCCUGGUAGUCCACGCCGUAAACGAUGAGUGCUAAGUGUUAGGGGGUUUCCGCCCCUUAGUGCUGCAGCUAACGCAUUAAGCACUCCGCCUGGGGAGUACGACCGCAAGGUUGAAACUCAAAGGAAUUGACGGGGACCCGCACAAGCGGUGGAGCAUGUGGUUUAAUUCGAAGCAACGCGAAGAACCUUACCAAAUCUUGACAUCCUUUGACAACUCUAGAGAUAGAGCCUUCCCCUUCGGGGGACAAAGUGACAGGUGGUGCAUGGUUGUCGUCAGCUCGUGUCGUGAGAUGUUGGGUUAAGUCCCGCAACGAGCGCAACCCUUAAGCUUAGUUGCCAUCAUUAAGUUGGGCACUCUAAGUUGACUGCCGGUGACAAACCGGAGGAAGGUGGGGAUGACGUCAAAUCAUCAUGCCCCUUAUGAUUUGGGCUACACACGUGCUACAAUGGACAAUACAAAGGGCAGCGAAACCGCGAGGUCAAGCAAAUCCCAUAAAGUUGUUCUCAGUUCGGAUUGUAGUCUGCAACUCGACUACAUGAAGCUGGAAUCGCUAGUAAUCGUAGAUCAGCAUGCUACGGUGAAUACGUUCCCGGGUCU
rnacentral:rRNA from 1 species